CUGAGGAGUCCUCUGACGGGGGCAUGACAGGCCCUUGCUGUGAUCCAGGAGGGCUCUUCUGAUGUUAUUUACCCGACUGCAGUCUCAGAGGUCGGGAGAACGGUCAGGCGCAAGAGGGAGAGUGUUAACGCUUCGCAUUAUCACCUUUGCUGAUUCCUGUCACAGAUUCUGGCUGGGCUGGCCUUCUGGGCCAGGUUCAAUCUUGGGCUCCUGGCCCAAUUGCUGCCGUUGAAAGAUCAGCAAGUCAUCACUGCGGUCGUGCUGAAAUGUAUUAUUCAUUGAAGUUCCUUAUCUUGCCCUUAUCACGGAGGAUCAAGGAGGAGGGAAGAAACAACUCUGCCUUUGGAUCUGCUGGCCACAGAAAGAGAUGUUAAAAAAAAAAGACUGCUUGUUCUGAUCUGCACUGCGGUCCUGAUCCCUGGCUCCUCUCUCACUGCAGUUUGCUGCCCACAACCCACCUCCUGG